rnacentral:siRNA from 1 species
UGACUUAUUUCACAAAAUGAC